UUCACGUUACGUUAGCCCACUGUGUUGUGUGUUACAACUUGCCGAGACAGUGGUGGUAGUUACUUUGCUCGCUACUAUGGACGACACCAUUAAAAAGUGACAACACAGCAAAAGCUAAAGCGAAAGCAGAACUGAAUGGUGAUGUAAAAAGGUAUAAUUAAAGUUUGAGACGUAUACUGAAACAGCACACUUUGUGACUUAUCAAAUGUUUAGAGAAAUAAACAUCUAAUACAUAAGCGCAAAGGUGUCCAAGAAUUUAUGUGAAGAUAUUCUGAUUAAUGUUUUACACAGAGUAAAGAAGAGAAAUGGGGAAAAAAGACUCCAAAAAUGCAAUAAGCUCUUCACCUAUUGAAAAUCACAGAAAACAAAUAGGUAAACAGGAAAUGAAGAGAGCUAAAAAAGAAAUGAAAGUCGCCAAGAAACAUUUAGAUCAGAAAAGAUCAGCUAUGACAAUACAGGAAGUUAUCUUAGUUGUAGGGGCAUUAUUGGCAGUAGUAGCAGGAAUCUACUUUUUCUUCAUGUAUCAACUUGGAACACAGUGGUCACCAGAAAAGAUUGUUACAGAAAAUACCAAACAGGAUUUAUAGUGCUUUAUUCAUAAAUAACAUUUAAUUUAUGGUAAAGGUAAAAUUCAUUUUCUUCAAAAAACUCUAAUUGAGUCAUUAUUUUAUUUCAUUAAUGAAAAACGUCCAGAAAUUGUAUAUCUUUCAUUUUAAGCAAUUAAAAUCAUAGUUAGAUAAUGAUUAUUGAAUUGAUUAAAUGCUGUGUAUUUUUUACAAAUUUUUACAGAUCCUAUUCCGUUUCUUUUUUAUAGUUCAAAAUUUCGAUUUACUUGUCUUUACUACACUAGGAUCUGGAUGUGUUUUGGAUGAUGUGAGGGAUUAGCCAAUGAAACGUUCUGUUACGGCGAGCUUUUGGUGUAAGAUGCACGGAACUGUGGGUAAUCCACUAGAAACAUCAAUAAGGUCAAAAUCCGCUCGUAUGACCUCUUGAUGCGACCUCUCAAAACAACUGGUCAGAUCUUCAUGUAGUGUAGGCCAUUGAAAGUAUAAAAAAAACGAAACGAAGUAUAGAUCUGUAUUGUUAUCAGAUUGUAUUUUUUAUUAUAGCAGCAAGCUUCUUAAAUUUAAGUUUUGUAGACAAAAAGACCUUUUUUCACUAAAAUAUAUAGACCAUACAAUAUCAGUGAUGUACACGUACAUGUAAAUAUUAUAUGAGAGGAAAUUAUGUUUGAAAAAAAUGUUUAUAUGGAAAUAUGUUAAAUGAUUUUUAUUUAAUUGUUAUUGUUUAUGGAUUUCUAAAUAAAUACUAAUGGCUAGUGGCAUAGUUGCAGGGGCGACAUCGAAAGGGCACCAAAUUCACAGGAUUUUAUUUUCCAAAAGUCUCUGUUUUGCUUCGCAGCAUAUUAACUGUAUGCAUGCAUAAUGUGUAAUUUUUGUAGAUGAUUAAGAUUGUUCAUUUCAUUUCCCCAGGUGAUUUUGGGGCAAACUGUCUUUUUAUAUGCCUACAUUGAAAUGUGGUCAUAUAUUGUCAUCCACAAUUGCUUGUAAACAGUAAAGGCUAAAAUGAUCAUCCAUUAUCAUUAUAGCUCUUGAUCAGUGUAUACAUAAUACAUAGACAGUGAUUCAGUUCAUGAAAUCAUUAUGGCUAUUAUUUUCAACAAUUUUUGAUAAUUACUGUUAGAGUUAUGGCCCUUGAACAAUCUUGUGACCCUGAAAUUAUAAUCAAAUUAACAUUAAUUUAUGCAAAGUGUUUAUGUUCAUAACAUAAAGAAUCCUAAGGUAUUUAUCUGAUUACAGGUACAUCUUUUGUAUAAUAAAUUUAAGUACUUGGAAGAAUUAGAAAUAAAAUGAAAUGGGAUUUAACGUCCUAUUGGUAGAAAUUGAAGCCGGUCAAAUUUUAGUUAUAUCUGAUUAUUACUGAAUGGAUUGUUAAUAUUAAUCAGUUUUUAGUUUCUUGUAUACUCCCAUUACUUACAAACAAAAGAAUAAAUAUGUGUCAAGCUUUGUGGACUGCUCAAACGAUUUAGUCGUUGUAGGCGUAUGUUUCAUUGCCUGGCAACCGAUCUUUGAUGUCUUUUCUCAUUGUAUGAAAUAAUGAACAUUUGUUGUUAGAAUCGUGUAUCUUAUUGUUUUGUUGAAAUCAACCGAAUUAACUGUAUGUGUAUCAUUGUUUAAAAUUAUAUGUUCCUCUUCAUUAGUCCUGUCAGAGCAGAACAGUAGGACUUAAACCCUAUUUCAUCAUAUUUCUUUCAAAUUUACGUACUCAUACAUCUAGGUAAUCUAAUGUAUUACUACUGAAACUUGUUCUGAACAACGAUUGAAAGAAAUAACAACAUAUAUAUGUAGGCUACCGUACUGUAAAAAAAACAAAACAAAGACAGCUUUAUUAUUACAUAUGACUGAAGAUCUAUCAUAAUAUGUUU